UUUCGUAUGUCCGCUCCAGGAUGGGACUGCGUCCGAUCAGGCUGUUGGCGGGGUAAUGGCCCACCAAACCUGUAACCGGUACGGGCCUUGAGAGAGGGGGCCCGGAGAUGGACACUGAGAGAAGGGUCCAGGUCCUACGGGGCGCAGCAGGCGCGAAACCUUCGCAAUGCGCGAAAGCGUGACGAGGUUAAUCCGAGUGGUUUCCGCUGAGGAGAUCUUUUGUCGGCUGUAAAAAGGCCGGCGAAUAAGGGGAGGGCAAGCCUGGUGUCAGCCGCCGCGGUAAUACCAGCUCCUCGAGUGGUCGGGGCGAUUAUUGGGCCUAAAGCAUCCGUAGCCGGUUCCGUAGGUCUUCUGUUAAAUCCAGCCGCUUAACGGUUGAUCUGCAGAAGAUACCGCGGGACUAGGAGGCGGGAGAGGCGGACGGUACUCCGCGUGUAGGGGUAAAAUCCUUUGAUCCGCGGAAGA
rnacentral:rRNA from 1 species